rnacentral:piRNA from 1 species
UNCCCAUUAAGCAUGAGCAAGUGACCUUGAGU